CAGUAGCCGCGGGAAUACGUAGGCGGCAAGCGUUGUCCGGAAUUAUUGGGCGUAAAGCGCGCGCAGGCGGAUAGGUCAGUCUGUCUUAAAAGUUCGGGGCUUAACCCCGUGAUGGGAUGGAAACUGCCAAUCCAGAGUAUCGGAGAGGAAAGCGGAAUUCCCAGUGUAGCGGUGAAAUGCGUAGAUAUUGGGAGGAACACCAGUGGCGAAGGCGACUCUCUGGUCUGUAACUGACGCUGAGGCGCGAAAGCGUGGGGAGCAAACAGGAUUAGAUACCCCAGUAGUCCCUGUCUCUUAUACA
rnacentral:rRNA from 1 species